rnacentral:lncRNA from 1 species
CUGACUAUAACCAAAUCCCUGAGUGUUAGUGUUCUGUUGUGUUCCCAAUCCCAAAUCCUCGAAGCUUGUCCAUCCUUUAUGCUCACCUACACUGUCGUGCUCAUCCCUACACUGUUGCUGUUGGGACUCGAUAUGUGAAUAAUAUGGCUGGGAUAGGAUGGCCUCAGAAUCAUCAUCUCUCUCAUUUUCCUUUAGACCCCAUUCCCACUCUCCCUCAUUAGGUGCAAUAUCACCGACAUCUC